rnacentral:rRNA from 1 species
UGGGGAAUAUUGCACAAUGGGCGAAAGCCUGAUGCAGCGACGCCGCGUGAGGGAUGACGGCCUUCGGGUUGUAAACCUCUUUCAGUAGGGACGAAGCGCAAGUGACGGUACCUGCAGAAGAAGCACCGGCUAACUACGUGCCAGCAGCUGCGGUAAUACGUAGGGUGCGAGCGUUAUUCGGAAUUACUGGGUGUAAAGGGUAUGUAGGCGGCCCUUCAAGUCGCGUGUCAAAGUCCAGUGCUCAACGCUGGGUGUGCACGCGAUACUGACGGGCUUGAGGGCUGGAGAGGUGAGCGGAAUUCCCGGUGUAGUGGUAAAAUACGUAGAGAUCGGGAGGAACACCAGCGGCGCAGGCGGCUCACUAGACAGUUUCUGACGCUAAGAUACGAAAGCGUGGGGAGCAAACA